CUGGCCCAUAGUAUUGAAUUAUUUUUUCAGGGGGCUCAUCUGUGUCUUUUUAAUAUCCUAUUUUUAUAUCUCUCUUUAUGUCUGCAUCUCUUUUGUUUCUUCUUCUAAGUUCAUCAUACACAGGAUCCCCUAAAGUUUUUCUCUAUUGCAGUGGGAGUAGGAAUAAAGAUGGUCUAAUUGUUCUAAGCACACAGGCCCCUGCCCAUUUAACUGGCAACUGUUGAUAUGCCCAUAGCCCACAGAUCCAAUAAAGACUGGGGGUUGCUUGCCAAGUAUUUGGAGAUUCAAGUUGAUACCAACCUUGGCUUUCAGCUCCAUCAGCUCCUUUAAGUCCUUCUCUGUAUUGGUUAUUGUAGUUAUAAGUUCUU
rnacentral:lncRNA from 1 species